AGGUAAGCUACUAAGAGCGAAUGGUGGAUGCCUUGACUGGUAAAGGCGAUGAAGGACGUACUAGACUGCGAUAAGCUACGGGGAGCUGUCAAGAAGCUUUGAUCCGUAGAUUUCCGAAUGGGGCAACCCAAUGUAUAGAGAUAUACAUUACCUAUAUAGGAGCGAACGAGGGGAAUUGAAACAUCUUAGUACCCUCAGGAAAAGAAAUCAAUAGAGAUUGCGUCAGUAGCGGCGAGCGAAAGCGCAAGAGGGCAAACCCAGUGCUUGCACUGGGGGUUGUAGGACUGCAAUGUGCAAGAGGUGAGUUUAGCAGAACAUUCUGGAAAGUAUAGCCAUAGAGGGUGAUAGUCCCGUAUGCGAAAAACAAACCUUAGCUAGCAGUAUCCUGAGUAGGGCGGGACACGAGAAAUCCUGUCUGAAGCUGGGUCGACCACGAUCCAACCCUAAAUACUAAUACCAGAUCGAUAGUGCACAAGUACCGUGAGGGAAAGGUGAAAAGAACUGAGGUGAUCAGAGUGAAAUAGAACCUGAAACCAUUUGCUUACAAUCAUUCAGAGCCCUAUGUAGCAAUACAGGGUGAUGGACUGCCUUUUGCAUAAUGAGCCUGCGAGUUGUGGUGUCUGGCAAGGUUAAGCAAACGCGAAGCCGUAGCGAAAGCGAGUCUGAAUAGGGCGCUUAGUCAGAUGCUGCAGACCCGAAACGAAGUGAUCUAUCCAUGAGCAAGUUGAAGCUAGUGUAAGAACUAGUGGAGGACUGAACCCAUAGGCGUUGAAAAGCCCCGGGAUGACUUGUGGAUAGGGGUGAAAGGCCAAUCAAACUUCGUGAUAGCUGGUUCUCUCCGAAAUAUAUUUAGGUAUAGCGUUGUGUCGUAAUAUAAGGGGGUAGAGCACUGAAUGGGCUAGGGCAUACACCAAUGUACCAAACCCUAUCAAACUCCGAAUACCUUAUAUGUAAUCACAGCAGUCAGGCGGCGAGUGAUAAAAUCCGUCGUCAAGAGGGAAACAACCCAGACUACCAGCUAAGGUCCCUAAAUCUUACUUAAGUGGAAAACGAUGUGAAGUUACUUAAACAACCAGGAGGUUGGCUUAGAAGCAGCCAUCCUUUAAAGAAAGCGUAAUAGCUCACUGGUCUAGUGAUUUUGCGCGGAAAAUAUAACGGGGCUAAAGUAAGUACCGAAGCUGUAGACUUGCGCACAACUUAGAUUAUUUAAGUUUAGAAUAUGAGAAACUAAGUUAUAUGUUUAGUUAUAUUUUUACUGAUUUUUAUAGAGUAAAGAUAGAAAUAAAACUUAGUAAAAUCAGUAAAAAUAUUCUUAGACUAAAGUUAAGUAGUUUAAGUUGUGUGCAAGUGGUAGGAGAGCGUUCUAUUUGCGUCGAAGGUAUACCGGUAAGGAGUGCUGGAGCGAAUAGAAGUGAGCAUGCAGGCAUGAGUAGCGAUAAUUAAUGUGAGAAUCAUUAACGCCGUAAACCCAAGGUUUCCUACGCGAUGCUCGUCAUCGUAGGGUUAGUCGGGUCCUAAGUCGAGUCCGAAAGGGGUAGACGAUGGCAAAUUGGUUAAUAUUCCAAUACCAACAUUAGUGUGCGAUGGAAGGACGCUUAGGGCUAAGGGGGCUAGCGGAUGGAAGUGCUAGUCUAAGGUCGUAGGAGGUUAUACAGGCAAAUCCGUAUAACAAUACUCCGAGAACUGAAAGGCUUUUUGAAGUCUUCGGAUGGAUAGAAGAACCCCUGAUGCCAUCGAGCCAAGAAAAGUUUCUAAGUUUAGCUAAUGUUGCCCGUACCGUAAACCGACACAGGUGGGUGGGAUGAGUAUUCUAAGGCGCGUGGAAGAACUCUCUUUAAGGAACUCUGCAAAAUAGCACCGUAUCUUCGGUAUAAGGUGUGGUUCGCUUCGUAUUAGGAUUUACUCCGAAAGCGAAGAAACUUACAACAAAGAGUCCCUCCCGACUGUUUACCAAAAACACAGCACUCUGCUAACUCGUAAGAGGAUGUAUAGGGUGUGACGCCUGCCCGGUGCUCGAAGGUUAAUUGAUGGGGUUAGCAUUAGCGAAGCUCUUGAUCGAAGCCCGAGUAAACGGCGGCCGUAACUAUAACGGUCCUAAGGUAGCGAAAUUCCUUGUCGGUUAAAUACCGACCUGCAUGAAUGGCGUAACGAGAUGGGAGCUGUCUCAAAGAGGGAUCCAGUGAAAUUGUAGUGGAGGUGAAAAUUCCUCCUACCCGCGGCAAGACGGAGAGACCCCGUGGACCUUUACUACAGCUUGACACUGCUAUUUGGAUAAGAAUGUGCAGGAUAGGUGGGAGGCUUUGAGUAUAUGACGCCAGUUGUAUAUGAGCCAUUGUUGAGAUACCACUCUUUCUUAUUUGGGUAGCUAACCAGCUUGAGUUAUCCUCAAGUGGGACAAUGUCUGGUGGGUAGUUUGACUGGGGCGGUCGCCUCCCAAAUAAUAACGGAGGCUUACAAAGGUUGGCUCAGAACGGUUGGAAAUCGUUCGUAGAGUAUAAAGGUAUAAGCCAGCUUAACUGCAAGACAUACAAGUCAAGCAGAGACGAAAGUCGGUCUUAGUGAUCCGGUGGUUCUGUGUGGAAGGGCCAUCGCUCAAAGGAUAAAAGGUACCCCGGGGAUAACAGGCUGAUCUCCCCCAAGAGCUCACAUCGACGGGGAGGUUUGGCACCUCGAUGU
rnacentral:rRNA from 1 species